UUAAAAAAAUAUCUUACAACCUCGUUUGCGAUCCUCGAGUAGAACCAUCACAAAUUGUGGUACCGUCACCAUCUUCUGACGGCCAUUAAGAUAUAAUCCAGAAGCUGGAUGCCAUUGAGACCCGAAACUGCCUAUGUCAUCGGAAGAGCACGUGCGCUUCGUGGAAGACAAACUUUCACAAAAGGAAAGCACGGAUGCUAUGAUGCGGCUAAUAUUGAAGUCAAAGGGCGCAAAAGGAAGUGUGGACGGCGUACUGCGUGGUAUGCUUUCUGACGAUCUAAUGUACCACUACAAUUUAGAGGGGCGCAAGG